rnacentral:rRNA from 1 species
AUGGGCUUCCCUCUCACAAAAGUUGAGCUAAAAUCUCACUCGCGCAACAACCCCAACCCCAACCCUGCUGCUGCCGAGCAAAAAUCCCCAUCCCCUUCCCUUUUCCUUCCCCACAAAUCAAUCAAACCCUCCAUCAAUCACGCGGCGCGCCUCCAAGUCCAAGAUUCGAUUUUGCUUCUGUGUAGGGGAGGGGAGGGGAGGGAAGAGGAGGCGAUCCAGGGAGGGAACAUGGAUCAGCAGGAGGAGGAAGCGUCCGUCUCCGUCAGCGUCAGCGUCAGCGUUCCAUCCUCGUUGCAUCUGGAGGAGGAGGAGGAGGAGGAGGAGGAGGAGGAGGAGGAGGAGGAGCAGGAUGAAGAAGAGGAAGACCAACAAGACAUGGCUCCGGUGAAGAUGGCGCUGGGCCCUCAGGUUCCCCUCAAGGACCUCCUCCACCUCCACAAGGAGGAGGAGGAGGGGGAGGAUGAGAGCCUCCGUAGAUGGAAGGAGCAGCUCCUCGGACCAGAUGCUGUCCACACCACAAACCUCCUCCAUGCCCUUGGAGCAGAGACCGUCGAACCGGAGGUGACCAUACUCAACCUCACCAUCCUCGCACCAGGGAGGCCUGACCUGCUUCUGCCGAUACCCUUCGUGCCCGAUGACAAGGGCCACGCCUUCGCGCUCAAGGACGGCUGCGCAUACAGCUUCCGCUUCUCCUUCGCCGUCUCCAACAACAUCGUGUCCGGUCUCAAGUACUCACACACCGUCUGGAAGACCGGAGUUAAAGUGGAGAACCAGAAGGUGAUGCUGGGGACAUUCAGCCCUCAGCAGGAGCCCUACACGUACAAGGCUGAGGAAGAUAGCACCCCGAGCGGCAUCUUUGCAAGGGGUUCCUAUUCUGCCAGAUUAAAGUUUGUGGAUGAUGAUGGGAAGGUGUACCUGGACAUGAGGUACAGCUUUGAGAUCAGGAAGGACUGGCCUAAUUAA